rnacentral:rRNA from 1 species
UACGGGAGGCAGCAGUGGGGAAUAUUGCACAAUGGGCGCAAGCCUGAUGCAGCUAUGCCGCGUGUAUGAAGAAGGCCUUCGGGUUGUAAAGUACUUUCAGUCGUGAGGAAGGUGUUAAGGUUAAUAACCUUAGCAAUUGACGUUAGCGACAGAAGAAGCACCGGCUAACUCCGUGCCAGCAGCCGCGGUAAUACGGAGGGUGCGAGCGUUAAUCGGAAUUACUGGGCGUAAAGGGCACGCAGGCGGUUAAUUAAGUUGGAUGUGAAAUCCCCGGGCUUAACCUGGGAAUGGCAUUCAAGACUGGUUAGCUAGAGUCUUGUAGAGGGGGUAGAAUUCCAUGUGUAGCGGUGAAAUGCGUAGAGAUGUGGAGGAAUACCGGUGGCGAAGGCGGCCCCUGGACAAAGACUGACGCUCAUGUGCGAAAGCGUGGGGAGCAAACAGGGAUUAGAUACC